AACGUAGGUGGCGAGCGUUAUCCGGAUUUACUGGGCGUAAAGCGUGUGCAGGCGGGGUGACAAGUGGGGUAUGAAAUCUCCGGGCUAAACCUGGAGGGGUUAUGCCAGACUGUCAUUCUAGAGUGCGAGAGAGGGGCGUGGAAUUCCGGGUGUAGUGGUGAAAUGCGUAGAUAUCAGGAGGAACACCGAUGGCGAAGGCAGGUCUCUGGGCUGACACUGACGCUCAUGCACGAAAGCGUGGGGAGCAAACAGG
rnacentral:rRNA from 1 species